AAGAGUUCAUACUUGUCACAAAAUCAUACAAUCUAAUGUAAGCGGAGUUUCUGUGUGAAAUGUUUAACUGAGGGAGUGGUUGUAUCCAUCUGCAUCAAUUUGACUGUUACCGAUUCGCUGCUAUUGGAAGUCCAGGAAUUCGAGUGCGUGAUGAGAGUUUUUCCUGACGGUGAGUGAAAAUUAUCACCGUUGAAUCUCAGAUUUUCUCUGAAGCAGAAUACGUGUUCGCUCCAUGUUCAUGGUUCUAGAGUAGACGCAGUAUUAGUUUUCAUAUCUGGACUAAAGUCAACUUUCUGAAAUCGAGAGGCAAAAUAGCGAAACCGUCAUUGCUCUGUCCAGUAUUUUACCGUAUGACCAACUCUCCGAAUGAGAAUUUCGUC
rnacentral:lncRNA from 1 species